rnacentral:rRNA from 1 species
AGACCCGAAACCCGGUGAUCUAGCCAUGGGCAGGUUGAAGGUUGGGUAACACUAACUGGAGGACCGAACCGACUAAUGUUGAAAAAUUAGCGGAUGACCUGUGGCUGGGGGUGAAAGGCCAAUCAAACCGGGAGAUAGCUGGUUCUCCCCGAAAGCUAUUUAGGUAGCGCCUCGUGAAUUCAUCUCCGGGGGUAGAGCACUGUUUCGGCUAGGGGGCCAUCCCGGCUUACCAACCCGAUGCAAACUGCGAAUACCGGAGAAUGUUAUCACGGGAGACACACGGCGGGUGCUAACGUCCGUCGUGAAGAGGGAAACAACCCAGACCGCCAGCUAAGGUCCCAAAGUCAUGGUUAAGUGGGAAACGAUGUGGGAAGGCCCAGACAGCCAGGAUGUUGGCUUAGAAGCAGCCAUCAUUUAAAGAAAGCGUAAUAGCUCACUGGUCGAGUCGGCCUGCGCGGAAGAUGUAACGGGGCUAAACCAUGCACCGAAGCUGCGGCAGCGACACUGUGUGUUGUUGGGUAGGGGAGCGUUCUGUAAGCCUGCGAAGGUGGCCUGUGAGGGUUGCUGGAGGUAUCAGAAGUGCGAAUGCUGACAUAAGUAACGAUAAAGCGGGUGAAAAGCCCGCUCGCCGGAAGACCAAGGGUUCCUGUCCAACGUUAAUCGGGGCAGGGUGAGUCGACCCCUAAGGCGAGGCCGAAAGGCGUAGUCGAUGGGAAACGGGUUAAUAUUCCCGUACUUGGUGUUACUGCGAAGGGGGGACGGAGAAGGCUAUGUUGGCCGGGCGACGGUUGUCCCGGUUUAAGCGUGUAGGUGUGUGUUCCAGGUAAAUCCGGUUCACUUUAACACUGAGGCGUGAUGACGAGGCACUACGGUGCUGAAGCAACAAAUGCCCUGCUUCCAGGAAAAGCCUCUAAGCAUCAGGUAACAUCAAAUCGUACCCCAAACCGACACAGGUGGUCAGGUAGAGAAUACCAAGGCGCUUGAGAGAACUCGGGUGAAGGAACUAGGCAAAAUGGUGCCGUAACUUCGGGAGAAGGCACGCUGACACGUAGGUGAAGUGAUUUACUCACGGAGCUGAAGUCAGUCGAAGAUACCAGCUGGCUGCAACUGUUUAUUAAAAACACAGCACUGUGCAAACACGAAAGUGGACGUAUACGGUGUGACGCCUGC